rnacentral:lncRNA from 1 species
GCUAGGAUGUAGGUUACAAUAGCGUUCUUCUGUCAAGUGUUUUAAAGCUGUAGUACAGACACUCUUGACCUUUUAUAUAGAUAUAUUUUUAACUGUUAGGACAGAGGAGGCUGAUUUUUUUUUUUUUUUUUUUUUUUGAUGAAAAGUGAAGCCAAAGACUGCUUGGGUUUCACAUGUCCUGCUUUAUAUGCAGCAACUGAUCAGUGUGUUUACAUUUUUCUUCUCCCCCCCACAUACAGAAUAAAUAAACUUUCCUACAUUCACAGCAUUUCUUAAUUGUUGGUGUAUCUCACUAAACUUGCAUGUGAAUGUAAAUGUGCAAUAUAAGCACGUGAAGCAAGCAGCUCCCUCUUUAUAACUAAUCCCAUUCUUUCAGUGGGCACUGGUUUAUUCUCAGAUUUAAUUCUAGAUAGAAUCCUUAGAGUUUGGAGAGAGGGAGGAAAAAAGCUGCCAGUGAGGUUAUUCAGAGUGGAAUAUGUGUUAUUGCCACCACUGCAUAUUUUACUAUCAGAAAAACACCAGUGAUCCUAAGGAGGUGAGGCACCCAGCUACCUCUCUCAUUUUCACACUUUGUAUGAUAUAACAACCUCACUGUGUAGAUUUCUGCUGAUCUCAUGUAGUAGUAUUUGCCCAGUGAUUUACAGUAGCAUGAACUGUACUAUAUGGGUAACACAUAGGCAAUUUUACAGAGACAUCUCCGUUCUCAGCAAAGCGAGAACAUCUCACUUACAAUGAGAAUACACUUCCCAGCAUUUCCAGAGGGAUAUUUGUAAAACUUAGGCGGUGUUGAUUUACCUACGUCUAUGUAUAGAAAAUAAUUUAUCUGGUUUAAGUAGCUUUGUGUGUUUUAUCUGCUCUCUUAUGGUUCAUAUAGUAACUUCACAUGAUGCUUUGAUAGAUUUGAGCUGACUGAUGAAGGAUAUAUGCAAAUAUAUAUAUAAGUUUCCAGAUUAUGUUGGGUAACUUAUUAAAUACUACCGUACGGUACAAAGCUUAUGUUCCAUGGUAUUAGCACUGGGGAGUUUUCAUCUGACUUUUAGCAUCAUCUCCUGUAGUUUACAGUUGAGCUUUUCUAAAAGGCCUCUGUUCUUCAAAAGAGACUGAGAAUGGUUUAGUGGUUUUAAGUGUCAGUUACAGAAAAUUGCUGAUUGUAAGGAGAAGACGUUAUAAUCCCCGAACACUUGAAUUCCUGUAUCUUGUCCGCAUAAUCUUAAACCAUACAUGGUGGUGGUUGCAUUAUCAUGGCAUGGAGAUUUUUUUUCUUCCCCAAAUCCACUAUUUUAUUCUAAAAACUGCAGUGCUGUACAGAGAACAGAGCAGCUCUUGCUGUUUCUUCAUCUUGGCUAACAGUCAUUUUGCAGGAGAUUAACACAAAAGCUUUAUGGCUUGUUGGUCCAGCAGUCUCCUGAGGAGGUUGAAUGGGAUGGAGAAGGGGCAGCCUUUAGGAAGUGCUGAGUGUCUGUAAUGCAUAGCCAGCCUCACUUUAGCAAAGCUUUUGAGCUUUUAUGGGUAGAACUGAACAAGCUGCAUGUUGAUGCAGUUGAUUUCAGUGGAGCUCCUUGUGUGCAUAUACCAGGACUAUUUCUUGUGAAAUUUAGAAACUGUUCAGGAAAGAGAAACUCAUUCUUCCUUUCCUUUAUGAGUGUGCCUGGCACUGGGCCCCAAAGCUGCACUCCCUACUUACUCUUUCUGGCAAGUAGAUCUUAAAUUGUUGUUAAAUAAUGUUGAAGCAUCACGCUAAUAACAACUGCCACCAUCAGUGGAUGCUUUAAGUGCCUAUCCAAGUUGUGCUUUGAGUGCCUAAAGCCUCUUGGAUGUGGCCUUUUUGCUCUUUCAUAUCAUUUAAUUAUUACUUGGUGAUGAAAGGUGAAUUAGCAUUCACCUCUGAAGGUGGUUGAAUAGUGAGUGUUUUGUGCAAAACUUACAGUGUAGGCAUUGUAACGAAUGGAGACAAAAGGUUUUGUUUUCCUUGUAAGGUGUUGGUGCCAAGAGUUUGAGGUUUUCCUUGAGAAGGAAGCAUAUGUGCAACAACCCCACCAACCACGUAGGGAGGAGAGGAGAUUGAAUGCAACCGUCCAAAAUGUCCCUGCGUUCCGUUCUGCGAGCAGCCCGGCAGCCGAGACACACGUAGUGCAGCUGAGCUGAAGCGGGACUUCUCGCCCGUGCUGUAAAAGGGAGGAUGCGGCUCCGGCCCUCGGCUGGAUUGCAGCGGUGAGUCGGGCUGGCUGCAGGCUCAGCGCAGAGGUCCGCCCCUGGGGACCAGAACACCGCGGGGCCGGGCCGUCGGGCUGGGGUCGUUAAUAGGAGGGGUGGGAACCCGGUGGGAACCCGGUGGGAACCCGCCCAACUCCUGAGUCGAUAUAACGCAAAGCAAUA